rnacentral:rRNA from 1 species
UACGAAGGGAGCUAGCGUUGUUCGGAAUCACUGGGCGUAAAGCGCACGUAGGCGGAUUUGUAAGUCAGGGGUGAAAUCCCGGGGCUCAACCUCGGAACUGCCUUUGAUACUGCAAAUCUCGAGUCCGAUAGAGGUGGGUGGAAUUCCUAGUGUAGAGGUGAAAUUCGUAGAUAUUAGGAAGAACACCGGUGGCGAGGGCGGCCCACUGGAUCGGUACUGACGCUGAGGUGCGAAAGCGUGGGGAGCAAACAGG